rnacentral:rRNA from 1 species
UACGGGGGGAGCAAGCGUUGUUCGGAUUUACUGGGCGUAAAGGGCGCGUAGGCGGCCAGCACAAGUCAGUUGUGAAAUCUCCGAGCUUAACUCGGAAAGGUCAACUGAUACUGUGCGGCUAGAGUGCGGAAGGGGCAACUGGAAUUCUUGGUGUAGCGGUGAAAUGCGUAGAUAUCAAGAGGAACACCAGUGGCGAAGGCGGCACUCUGGGCCAGUACUGACGCUGAGGAGCGAAAGCGUGGGGAGCGAACAGG